GGACAUUAAAGUGCACAAAGUUAUAGUAUUAUAGCAAGGGGUAGAGAUGUGAGGGGUACAGCAGGGAGAUACAAGACAUGGGGUACAGCAGGGAGAUACAAGACAUGGGGUAUAGCGGGGAGAUACAAGACAUGGGGUACAGCAGGGAGAUACAAGACAUAGGGUAAAGCGGGGAGAUACAAGACAUGGGGUAUAGCGGGGAGAUACAAGACAUGGGGUAUAGCGGGGAGAUACAAGACAUUGGGAUAUAGCGGGGAGAUACAAGACAUGGGGUAUAGCGGGGAGAUACAAGACAUGGGGUAUAGCGUGGAGAUACAAGACAUGGGGUAUAGCGUGGAGAUACAAGACAUGGGGUACAGCAGGGAGAUACAAGACAUGGGGUAUAGCGGGGAGAUACAACACAUGGGGUACAGCAGGGAGAUACAAGACAUGG